rnacentral:rRNA from 1 species
UACAGAGGGUGCAAGCGUUAUCCGGAUUUACUGGGUUUAAAGGGUGCGUAGGCGGCGCGGUAAGUCGGGUGUGAAAUCUCGGAGCUUAACUCCGAAACUGCAUUCGAUACUGCCGUGCUUGAGGACUGGAGAGGAGACUGGAAUUUACGGUGUAGCGGUGAAAUGCGUAGAUAUCGUAAGGAAGACCAGUGGCGAAGGCGGGUCUCUGGGCCGAAACUGACGCUGAGGAGCGAAAGCGUGGGGAGCAAACAGG